CCUACGGGAGGCUGCAGUGAGGAAUAUUGGUCAAUGGGCGAGAGCCUGAACCAGCCAAGUCGCGUGAGGGAGUACUGCCCUAUGGGUUGUAAACCUCUUUUGUCGGGGAGCAAAAGCCGGACGUGUCCGGCUGUGAGAGUACCCGAAGAAAAAGCAUCGGCUAACCCCGUGCCAGCAGCCGCGGUAAUACGGAGGAUGCGAGCGUUAUCCGGAUUUAUUGGGUUUAAAGGGUGCGCAGGCGGAUUUUUAAGUCAGCGGUAAAAUCGUGGGGCUCAACCCCAUCCAGCCGUUGAAACUGGGGAUCUAGAGUGUGCGAGAGGUAUGCGGAAUGCGUGGUGUAGCGGUGAAAUGCAUAGAUAUCACGCAGAACCCCGAUUGCGAAGGCAGCAUACCGGUGCACAACUGACGCUCAGGCACGAAAGCGUGGGUAUCGAACAGGAUUAGAUACCCCAGUAGUC
rnacentral:rRNA from 1 species